rnacentral:rRNA from 1 species
CGCAUCUGUGCAUGCAGCAUAUCAAUAAGCGGAGGAAAAGAAACUAACAAGGAUUCCCCUAGUAACGGCGAGUGAAGCGGGAAGAGCUCAAAUUUGAAAUCUUAAAGGGUUUCCCUUUACGAAUUGUAGUUUAAAGAAGUGUUUUCUGUUGAGGUUUUGGUAAAAGUUCUUUGGAAUAGGACAUCAUAGAGGGUGAGAAUCCCGUAUUUGACCUUUACUUUCAACUUUGUGAUACACUUUCAAAGAGUCGGAUUGUUUGGGAAUGCAGUCCAAAAUGGGUGGUAAAUUUCAUCUAAAGCUAAAUAUUGGCGAGAGACCGAUAGCGAACAAGUACCGUGAGGGAAAGAUGAAAAGAACUUUGAAAAGAGAGUUAAACAGUACGUGAAAUUGUCAAAAGGGAAGCGUUUGACACCAGUGUUGUUUUUCUGAAAAUCAAUUAAAGAACUGUUUAUGCUAAGCUGUUUAGACUUUAUCAGCUAACUGUUUAGUUUUGAGCUUUUCUUUAAUGCACUUUUCAGUUAACAAGUCAACAUCAAUUUCUUUUGCUGUAAAAAAGCUUGAGGAAGGUGGCUUGAGAUUCGUCUUAAGUGUUUAUAGCCUCUUGCCUAUGCAGUCGGAGAGAUUGAGGUCUGCAGCGUAGAUCCUUCGGGGCUAAAUGCAUUUGUGCUAAGUUAUAGCAUUUUAUAGACAACUUGUUGACUAUGAUUUGUCUUGUAGCUUACUCGCUCAUGUUAUUUUACCUACGCUUAGGAUGUUGAGUCAUCACACAUCUCU